rnacentral:rRNA from 1 species
CCUACGGGAGGCAGCAGUGAGGAAUAUUGGUCAAUGGCCGAGAGGCUGAACCAGCCAAGUCGCGUGAGGGAAGAAUGUCCUAUGGAUUGUAAACCUCUGUUGUCAGGGAGCAAAGUCACCCACGUGUGGGUGUUGGAGAGUACCUGAAUAAAAAUCAUCGGCUAACUCCGUUCCAGCAGCCGCGGUAAUACUGGGGAUGCGAACGUUAUCCUGAUUUAUUGGGUGUAUAGGGUGCGUAGGCGGGUUAUCAAGUCAGCGGUAAAAGCGCGGAGCUCAACUCCAUCCAGCCGUUGAAACUGAUGAUCUAGAGUGGGCGAGAAGUAUGCGGAAUGCGUGGUGUAGCAGUGAAAUGCAUAGAUAUCACGCAGAACUCUGAUUGCGAAGGCAGCAGACCGGCGCCUGACUGACGCUGAGGCACGAAAGCGAGGGUAUCGAACAGGAUUAGAUACCCUGGUAGUC